UACGUAGGGUGCAAGCGUUGUCCGGAAUUAUUGGGCGUAAAGAGCUCGUAGGCGGUCUGUCGCGUCGGCUGUGAAAUCCCGGGGCUCAACCCCGGGCCUGCAGUCGAUACGGGCAGACUAGAGUGCGGUAGGGGAGACUGGAAUUCCUGGUGUAGCGGUGAAAUGCGCAGAUAUCAGGAGGAACACCGGUGGCGAAGGCGGGUCUCUGGGCCGUAACUGACGCUGAGGAGCGAAAGCGUGGGGAGCAAACAGG
rnacentral:rRNA from 1 species